UUCCUCAGAAUUCCGAGAUGAUGCCAGUC
rnacentral:piRNA from 1 species